GUAGGGAAUAUUGCGCAAUGGGCGAAAGCCUGACGCAGCCAUGCCGCGUGAGUGACGAAGGCCUUCGGGUCGUAAAGCUCUUUUCUGAGGGAAGAACAUCCGGUGGAGGAAAUGCCACCGGCCUGACGGUACCUCAGGAAUAAGGAACGGCUAACUCCGUGCCAGCAGCCGCGGUAAUACGGAGGUUCCAAGCGUUGUUCGGAAUUACUGGGCGUAAAGGGAGCGCAGGCGGUCAAGUCAGUCUAAAGUGGAAGCCCGGGGCUCAACCUCGGAAAGCCUUUGGAUACUGCUUGACUUGAGUACGUGAGAGGAAGGCGGAAUUCAAGGUGUAGCGGUGAAAUGCUUAGAUAUCUUGAGGAACACCAAUGGCGAAAGCAGCCUUCUGGCACGACACUGACGCUGAGGCUCGAAAGCGUGGGGAGCAAACAGGAUUAGAUACCCGGGUAGUCC
rnacentral:rRNA from 1 species